rnacentral:rRNA from 1 species
GAUGAACGCUGGCGGCGUGCCUAAUACAUGCAAGUCGAACGGAGUAUGUAGCAAUAUGUACUUAGUGGCGAACGGGUGAGUAACACGUUGGUGACCUGUCCUAAAGUGAGGGAUAACAGUUCGAAAGGGCUGCUAAUACCACAUGUGGUCUAUCGAGUUAUAGACGGUAGAAGAAAGGCGAAAGUCGCUUUAGGAGGGACCUGCGACACAUCAGCUAGUUGGUAAGGUAACGGCGUACCAAGGCGAUGACGGGUAGGGGAUCUGAGAGGGUGGACCCCCACGCGGGCACUGAAACACGGGCCAGAAACAUACGGGUGGCAGCAGUAGCGAAUAUUGGUUAAUGUGGGAAACCGCGAACCAGCAACGCCGCGUGUGCGAUGAAGGCCUUCGGGUCGUAAAGCACUUUUACAAAGGAUGAGGAAGGACAGUACUUUGUGAAUAAGUCUCGGCUAACUACGUGCCAGCCGCCGCGGUAACAC